CAGUAGCCGCGGGAAUGCGAAGGGUGCAAGCGUUAAUCGGAAUUACUGGGCGUAAAGCGUGCGUAGGCGGUUUGUUAAGUCUGUUGUGAAAGCCCUGGGCUCAACCUGGGAAUUGCAGUGGAUACUGGGUCACUAGAGUGUGGUAGAGGAUAGUGGAAUUUCCAGUGUAGCAGUGAAAUGCGUAGAGAUCGGAAGGAACAUCUGUGGCGAAGGCGACUAUCUGGGCCAACACUGACACUGAGGCACGAAAGCGUGGGGAGCAAACAGGAUUAGAUACCCGUGUAGUCCCUGUCUCUUAUAC
rnacentral:rRNA from 1 species